UAAGUUAGCAAUUCACUAAACUUAGGACAGAGUGGUUUGGUGCCUUCGCAGCAUUUGCAUUGGCAACGUUGUACAUCAGUAUCGAGGGAAAGAGCGUAGUAGGGGAGAGAGUUGAAAGUUGCCCCGUUGAUCAGCGCCGCUCGGAUUGUUGUGGUCGCGUGCGCUAUGUGUUGCUGUAACAUGUUCCCGUCGAAAGUGGAUCUAUUUUAAUAUUUCUUGCCUGAAGCGAAGCCUCUGGCGGUAUUGCCAUCAGCCAUAGCGCGGACCCCCGAAAGUGCUUCAGCUUCGUUACGGUGCCGAAGAACGUCACGUCAAGCAAAGCGCCGCGCGAGCGCUACGAAGACAAGUGUCCACUACCACGACCUCCACUACGAUACAAACCACUCUGAAGUGUUAAACCCGCUGUCAUUUGUUGGCAAGUUUGUGGUAAGGUGACAACCUUUUGAAUGUUGCAGCUUGCGUCGUUGAUUACCGAGCAACUGCCACAAGUCAAGUCAAAAGCAGGGACAGCAUUUCAGUCACUCUAGAGGAUGGUGUCAGUGUCUGGAAGUGCGUUCAGUGUGACUUCGUGUUGCACUCUGAGGCUUUGUUAGUGGAGCAUGAGCAGCUGCAGCAUCCAGGGCUUGGCCUUUCACAGUAUGCGUGCCGUUUCUGCCCAGCUGCGUUUCACCACAAUAACUGCUAGCUGUUGCCACCUCCAGAAACACACCGGUCGUGGAACCUUCACUGCUUCUUGUGCGCUGGGUGCUUUGCGAGUGAGCAGAACCUUGUACGCCAUGUCAAGACGGUGCACAAUGACGAUGCUGACGGAUUACGCUGCUAUCUCUGCCUUGGGAGGUUCUCCCGCAAGGACGCCCUGAAGGUGCCCAUCUGCAAGCACUGGAGCAACACUGCCAAAGCUAACUUGUGAUGCUUCAAGCAGGGUUUCUGUGAAGUGUGUGAUCAGUGGUGCUGGCAUUGUUGCGAGUGGCAUUUGUGUUGGUGCCCUGUGUGCUACAGUGUGGUGAAGGUGACGUGCAGCUGUGUAGAGCCUUCCGGGGCCAGGUUUGUUUGUUUGAGCACAUCGUUGGAGGACACCAGCCUUGCUUGUCCCUGUCCCAGCACAUCCGACGAGGGCUGCGGGCACUGACACUACAGAUGGCGCUUCCCCAAGUGCCCCACGGAUUAUGUACUACCAUCUACCCGAGGCACGACAAAACCGCUGAGACGGAACCAGCUUGUCCAUGGCAUUGCUUGAAAAUGAAAAUUGUUGUCGACCAGCUAUGCUUGUUCUUGGCCAUUUUGCCAGAAACGUGUGGACAAACCCAGCUCGCCCAUGGCAUGGAAGGGGUUGAACUGCCUGCGGUCAGCCUAGUGGUCACAAGCAACAUAGCUUGUAUGCUUUUGACGAAGAGAACAUGCGAAAACAGUGAGAGUGCAACCUUCUUUACACUUUUGUGAUUAAACAGUAGGAGCAGAAAAACUUGUUUACAAACAUAUAAACAGACAAUCACCUUUACAUCUUUUCAGUGCAUGCUUCAGUGGAUUUUGUUGCUCGUUCAUGUUCAUUUUCUUUAAUGUUCAUGCUUUCCCUUGCAGAAUGGGCUGCCACAUUUGUGCCUAGAAGGCCACCAAGAUUGUGCAAGGAAGAUAUGAUUGCGUGCACCUUAGCAAUGUUUCAUCUGUGACUUUCCUUGUCACUCCUGUAUUUUUUUUUUCUUUUUGCUCUUCAAGAGUGUCAGAUGCCCUUGGACGUUUGUGUUUGGUUGCACCUGUAGCAUGUGAUCUGUCUAUUUCCAAGCCAAACAUGCAUUGGUGCAGUCCCGCUUAUUAUUGCAUGUUGUAAAAAUUCUGCACUAAUGCCCCCUCGUUUCCUUGUUGGACUAGUAGUUGGCCAUUUUCGAAGUAUAAGAAUCUUUUUUGUAGAAGCUUGUGGCAAAAUAGAUUUAACUUUAUUGAUCAUGUUUUGUCUAUCUUGCUUGAGAUAGAUAGGUAAGCCACCUUGUGAUGUCACUGAUUCCUUAUAGCAUGUCAGGCUAGAAGCCCAGUGAAGUGGAAAGCAGCUGCAUAUUCUUCCUUGCAGUCGGCCAUAUCACAGGAGAGGGUUUGUCUUUUGUGUCGACACUCCUGCCUCAAAGUGUGAAAUUAGGGUUUUGGUGUGAAAUUUGGUUAUGAAUACUUGAGAACACAACUGCUUUAGAAGAAUUCAACAAAAUGAAUUUGUCCUCAGAUAUGACUGUCUUCAAGUUUCUCGUAUAAGCAUAUACCACAGUUGCAAAAAUUCUAAAAGGUAAUAAUAAAUUCUGUUAGCUAUGCAUGUGCUGAUUUAUUUUUAGAAAUUGUCUGGCGAAGAACAUAAACAUCUGUGAAAGCACAUCUGCAUAUCUAACAUAACACUGUUACUAAAAUUACUUAUAUAUAUUUAAGGAACUGUGUAUAAAAUGGAAUAGCUCAUUGUGCCUCGAAAGCAUUUGUUAACUGAUGCUUUCGUUUUUCUGGAAUGUGAUCUGUUAAGAAUGCACCAUAGAGUUGAUUGUAAAAUCCAACAUUUGUACAUUACAACCGAAGUUCUUGAUCCAAAUUCUGUGUUGAGCUGAAGAGUUCAGGGACUAUGUACUUCAUUACCAUGGAUCAAUGUGUUUUGGUUAAGCAAAGUUACUUAUGCUUUGUUUCAUGAGGCUAGAGAGAUAUGUCAUACUGCUUACAUUCAACACCAAAAAGUAGCGCAUCAAGUAAUAAAAGAAAGAUACUGGUGUGCAUCAUAUAAUUUGGUUCACCUAGACCUCGAUGUAACAAAGUAUUUAACUUUUCAUAACUUAUUGUCCCUAGAAUACCCUGUAUUUAAACCUCAAUAUAACAAAGUGUCUUUACACACAAUUUCAAUAUAAAGAAAUUUCACUGCUGCCGCUAUGGAAUACAAACACAACAAAUGAAAACUUCCACGAACGCAGAUGGUCAAACGAUUGAAUUCCAAGCGUCUGCUUGUGAGCGCUGCUCUCAAAUUGCGUGCCCUCGACAAAAGCGACAAGAGCGUCAUUACGAUAAGAUCUGAUAAGACGUGCCGAGAUGGCAUGUCAUCAAGUGGGCUGUCUUCCCACGCAUUUAGUACUUCAG